UCGAAAACAUGAUGGAUGAAUACGAGAAGCUUCUAGAAAGAUCUUCGGAUGGUUCGGCUAAAAUGAGGAUACUUUUGUUUUCGCCUUCCGAGCUCGAAAAUGCUAGUUUUGAAGAUUUGGAGGAUGGUGGGAAUAGGUAUGUUGAAGCUGUGAACGGGAUUAUGGAUGGUUUUAACCGUCUUGCAAGAAAGGAGAGUAUUGAGAGUGGUAAUUCUGCAAGGAGUUCCGAUUUAAGUGGUACAGAAGGUGCUGAUAGCUUAGGCCAAGUUAGUGGUGGUUUUUCGCCCAAG
rnacentral:lncRNA from 1 species